rnacentral:ncRNA from 1 species
UGUUCUCAGGGCGGGGUGCAAUUCCCCACCGGCGGUAAUCACUGGGUGUCGAAAGAUGUCAGGUGCGAGCCCGCGAGCGCUUUCCGGUUUGCCGGAAAGGUCAGCAGAUUUCGGUGCAAUUCCGAAGCCGACGGUAUAGUCCGGAUGAAAGAGAAC